GUAGGUGGCGAGCGUUAUCCGGAAUUAUUGGGCGUAAAGAGCGCGCAGGUGGUUGAUUAAGUCUGAUGUGAAAGCCCACGGCUUAACCGUGGAGGGUCAUUGGAAACUGGUCGACUUGAGUGCAGAAGAGGGAAGUGGAAUUCCAUGUGUAGCGGUGAAAUGCGUAGAGAUAUGGAGGAACACCAGUGGCGAAGGCGGCUUCCUGGUCUGUAACUGACACUGAGGCGCGAAAGCGUGGGGAGCAAACAGGAUUAGAUACCCUGGUAGUCCACGCCGUAAACGAUGAGUGCUAAGUGUUGGGGGCCGAACCUCAGUGCUGAAGUUAACGCAUUAAGCACUCCGCCUGGGGAGUACGGUCGCAAGACUG
rnacentral:rRNA from 1 species